rnacentral:rRNA from 1 species
GAUGAACGCUAGCUACAGGCUUAACACAUGCAAGUCGAGGGGAAACGAUGAGAGAGCUUGCUCUCUUAGUCGUCGACCGGCGCACGGGUGAGUAACGCGUAUCCAACCUGCCUCUGACCAAGGGAUAACCCGUCGAAAGUCGGACUAAUACCUUAUGCAGUCGUCGGAAGUCAUCUGAUGACGACGAAAGAUUUCAUCGGUGAGAGAUGGGGAUGCGUCUGAUUAGCUUGUUGGCGGGGUAACGGCCCACCAAGGCGACGAUCAGUAGGGGUUCUGAGAGGAAGGUCCCCCACAUGGGAACUGAGACACGGUCCAAACUCCUACGGGAGGCAGCAGUGAGGAAUAUUGGUCAAUGGGCGUAAGCCUGAACCAGCCAAGUAGCGUGCAGGAUGACGGCCCUAUGGGUUGUAAACUGCUUUUAUGCGGGGAUAAAGUGAGGGACGUGUCCUUCAUUGCAGGUACCGCAUGAAUAAGGACCGGCUAAUUCCGUG